rnacentral:rRNA from 1 species
UACGGAGGGUGCAAGCGUUAUCCGGAUUCACUGGGUUUAAAGGGUGCGUAGGAGGGCAGGUAAGUCAGUGGUGAAAUCUUCGAGCUUAACUCGGAAACUGCCGUUGAUACUAUCUGUCUUGAAUCCCGUGGAGAUGAGCGGAAUAUGUCAUGUAGCGGUGAAAUGCUUAGAUAUGACAUAGAACACCAAUUGCGAAGGCAGCUCAUUACACGAAGAUUGACUCUGAGGCACGAAAGCGUGGGGAUCAAACAGG